rnacentral:rRNA from 1 species
UGGGGAAUAUUGGACAAUGGGCGAAAGCCUGAUCCAGCCAUGCCGCGUGUGUGAAGAAGGUCUUCGGAUUGUAAAGCACUUUAAGUUGGGAGGAAGGGCAGUAAGCUAAUACCUUGCUGUUUUGACGUUACCGACAGAAUAAGCACCGGCUAACUCUGUGCCAGCAGCCGCGGUAGUACAGAGGGUGCAAGCGUUAAUCGGAAUUACUGGGCGUAAAGCGCGCGUAGGUGGUUUGUUAAGUUGGAUGUGAAAGCCCCGGGCUCAACCUGGGAACUGCAUCCAAAACUGGCAGGCUAGAGUACGGUAGAGGGUGGUGGAAUUUCCUGUGUAGCGGUGAAAUGCGUAGAUAUAGGAAGGAACACCAGUGGCGAAGGCGACCACCUGGACUGAUACUGACACUGAGGUGCGAAAGCGUGGGGAGCAAACA